rnacentral:ncRNA from 1 species
GUUAAGGGGUGCUCGAUAUUUCGGGCUGAGAUGAUACCCUCAUACCUGAACCGGGUAAUGCCGGCGUAGGAAUCUU